AAGAAAAAAAUUGUUAGUGGAAGAUUAUAAUAGGGGGUUUCGCAUGCCAGCAAGAGUUACUGGUGUGCCAUGUUUGGCACACAUGCCUGGGGUUGCCCACCCCUGCUAUAGGUCUAGGAUGUGAUUACCUGCAUGACCUGCCCAGCUAGGAAUUUAUGAUCGAAUCACCUUUGCGGUUACUUUCAGGCUCAUCAAGCAGCGCCCAGAGCUUGUCAGGUCUGCUAUGUAGCCCCUUAUUCACUCAUUCAUUCAUUCAUUCAUUCAAUUAUGACUGAAUUGUAGGGGUCUCUCCUUCCCUUCCACACCUGGCCUCCCACCCUUCCUUGAAUUACAAACCAGGCUCUUCCCUGGCAGGUACAGGAAAAGCUGGCCUCUCCCACUUACCUGCUCAUGGGCCACUCCCAUUGGGGUUCUGCAUGGAGCCCUACAGAAGGCAAGGCUGGGCCUGCUCCUGCAGUCAGCACCAAGUGGUGGGAGAGGCCCAGCAGCCCCUGAGAUGCAGCCCUGGAUGGGGGAGAGGUGCAGCUGGAAUGCCACUCCCACCCCAACCUGAGGCCCUGGGAGGCAUCUCAUCACUGGACUCCUUUGUGCCUCCUCUGCUCACACACCUCAGCCCUUCACUAUGUCCCUGGAUCACACGCUGGUGCAAGCUUCACAGGGAGGAGGACAAAUCACAGGAGGAUGGGAAGAGCAGAUGUUUGGUAUCCAGCUGUCUGCCCUGUCAUGCAGAGAGAGGAGGGGAGACGGAGAGCAAAAGAGAAACAUAACGUGAGAGAGAAACAUUGAUCAGUUGUCUCCAGUUCAGGGCCCAGGGGUAAUGGAACCCGAAGUGAACCCACCACCCUUUGGUGCACAGGAGAAAGCUGCAAAGGACUGACCACCCCGGCCAGGGCCUUCCCUGAAUGCCAUGAGGGAGAGGUGGGAGUCCUCCCCACCCCAUGGCUGGGUCUUGAUCGCCCUCCGCUCAACAUAAUCAACAAGCGAAAGUGGCACCUUUUGGAGGCUCGCAGAGACGGAUACCUCCCCCGCGUGUCUUCGGGGCAAUUAAGACCAACACCAAUCAGGGCACACGCACUGAAGCGCACGCCAGCGGUCCCCAGGCGGCGCCCUCCGGGGGACCAGGUUGUGCAAGACGCCGGUC